rnacentral:rRNA from 1 species
GCAAGUCGAGCGAGAAACGCAUUGACGGAGGCUUCGGCCAAAGUCGCGCGCGGAAAGCGGCGGACGGGUGAGUAACGCGUAGGCAACCUGCCCUUGACACAGGGAUAGCCUCGGGAAACCGGGAUUAAAACCUGAUAAAACCUUUCCUUCUCCUGAAGGAAGGGUCAAAGAUUUAUCGGUCAAGGAUGGGCCUGCGUCUGAUUAGUUAGUUGGUGGGGUAACGGCUUACCAAGGCGACGAUCAGUAGCCGACCUGAGAGGGUGAUCGGCCACAUUGGAACUGAGACACGGUCCAAACUCCUACGGGAGGCAGCAGUGGGGAAUCUUGCACAAUGGGCGAAAGCCUGAUGCAGCAACGCCGCGUGAGCGAAGAAGGUCUUUGGAUCGUAAAGCUCUGUCCUCAGGGAAGAACACAAUGACGGUACCUGAGGAGGAAGCCCCGGCUAACUACGUGCCAGCAGCCGCGGUAAUACGUAGGGGGCAAGCGUUAUCCGGAAUUAUUGGGCGUAAAGAGUAUGUAGGUGGUUUCUUAAGCGCAUGGUUUAAGGCAACGGCUCAACCGUUGUUCGCCGUGCGAACUGAGAGACUUGAGUGCAGGAGAGGAAAGUGGAAUUCCUAGUGUAGCGGUGAAAUGCGUAGAUAUUAGGAGGAACACCGGUGGCGAAGGCGGCUUUCUGGACUGUAACUGACACUGAGAUACGAAAGCGUGGGGAGCAAACAGGAUUAGAUACCCUGGUAGUCCACGCCGUAAACGAUGAGCACCAGGUGUCGGGGUCGCAAGACUUCGGUGCCGCAGUUAACGCAUUAAGUGCUCCGCCUGGGGAGUACGCACGCAAGUGUAAAACUCAAGGAAUUGACAGGGACCCGCACAAGCAGCGGAGCAUGGGGUUUAAUUCGAAGCAACGCGAGGAACUUACCAGGCUGACAUCCUUCUGACCGGUUCUUGAUCUAACUUUCUCUU